GAGUGGUCAGCUGGGGCUGCACCCAGCACCCUGGCCCUCUCUGUGAUGGAGGAAGAGCCCUGGCUUCCCAGGGGGGCUGCAACCCGACCGAAACUGGCGGAAGACACACAGAGAGCUACCUAGCAAUGAACCCAAUUCAUGGAGGGGACCAACGUUAGCAAGAGAUGGAUCCCAGACCUCAACGGCUGGAAAGGGGCACGGCCAUCAGGUCUGGCCUUCGGUAGUGGAGAAAGCAGGCCUGAGCGCUUCCCUCCCUCCCCGGGCUCUCCGAGGCCUCGACGAGCUGCUAGAGGAGGGCCCUUCCCAAGCACACACAGACCCAGCGUGUUCCAAAUCCACGCCUGAUUGGCGCAGCAAGGUGACCCAACAAAGGGAGACAAGCAGACACAGAACAACAAGCGGGGAAUGGACACAGAGAGCAGACGCAAAACACGCCGCAAAAGUGGGGGUGGGGGGUAUUAAAUAAAUAAAUCUUUAAAAAAAAAUCCACUCCUGGGUUGGCUUGAAGCACCACCCAGCCCCACCCGGAGGCCCUCGGCCCAUCCCACGGGGU
rnacentral:lncRNA from 1 species